GGGUGUAUAGCUCAGCGGUAGAGCAAUGGUCUUCUAAUCCAUGGGCCGGGGGUUCGAUCCCCUCUGCAUCCA
rnacentral:tRNA from 1 species